UGCUGUGGCCUGAACUUUUGCAUAGGCUGACAUGAGUACAACCAAUGAAGGACAAUGCUCAGCCCUUGCUGUUGCCUGCCUUGAGAUGUUAAUAUAAGCUAGUAUGGAAGCCAAAGGCAGCUGGAGGAGGCAGCUGAGACAAUAGCUUCAGAAGGGCAGCUGGAGAUCAACUUUCUAAACUCAGGCAUGGAAAACUUGGAGUCCUUAAAGCAGAAUCCCACUGCAUGUGGGAUGCACAGUGAAAGAAGUUGCUGCUUCAGGUAAGGAAGAGUUUCAGGUUCAGAAGUGACCCAUUUGGAAGAGGGACAGAGAUGCUUCAGAUGCAGUUUUUUUUAAUCAUUAUUUUAUAAU